CACGUAGGGGACGAGCGUUGUCCGGAUUCAUUGGGCGUAAAGCGCGCGUAGGCGGCUCGGUAAGUCGGGUGUGAAAUUUCGAGGCUCAACCUCGAAACGCCACCCGAUACUGCUGUGGCUAGAGUCCGGUAGGGGAGCGUGGAAUUCCUGGUGUAGCGGUGAAAUGCGCAGAUAUCAGGAGGAACACCGGUGGCGAAGGCGGUUCUCUGGGCCUUACCUGACGCUGAGGAGCGAAAGCGUGGGGAGCAAACAGG
rnacentral:rRNA from 1 species